rnacentral:rRNA from 1 species
AUGGAAGCAGCAGCAGCAGCAGAUGAGGAGAAGCCGCUGGUUCACCGCCUGCCUCCUCAGGAUGAAGGUUCAGAGCAUACAAGUGAUGGAACAGUUGAUAUCAACAAACAGCCUGCCAGGAGGCGUAGUACAGGGAACUGGAGGGCAUGCUACUUCAUUUUAGGUGCUGAAUUCACCGAAGGCAUCUGCUUCUUUGGGAUCCAGAAGAACUUGGUCACGUACCUCAGGAGCGUGCUGCACGAGAGCAAUGUCGACGCCGCGAGGAACAUGUCGACUUGGAUCGGCAGUUGCUUCUUCACGCCGCUCAUCGGAGCCUUCUUGGCCGACACAUACUGGGGGAGAUACCGGGCAAUAGUAGUCUUCCUUUCAGUCUAUACCGUUGGGAUGCUGGUUAUGACAUUGCCAGCGUCGCUCCCGGUGCUGAUGCCCUCUUUAACCACCAGCGAAAUCCAGCGUGCCAUGGUCUACCUAGGGCUCUACCUCGUCGCCCUGGGGACCGGCGACAUCAAGCCGUGCACGUCUAUAAAACUACCAAUCCACACCAAGUUCAGGGAUGUUACCUGUUUCCCACACUUUCCUUGA